CAUGGGGGAGGACUUGGGGACACGGGGCCAUUCAUGGGGCACGCAGGGGGUCCCAGGGGUGUAGUGACCCCAUCCCUGUCCCCCCCAGGUGGGGACCAUCCUGAAGCACCUGUUCCCCGUGCCCCGCCCCGACAGCCGCCGCGUGGUGACCUUUGCCAACGAGGACGACGUCAUCCUCGUGCGGAACCACGUGUACCGGCGCCGGGGGCGGACAGUGGAGCUGGAGGAGGUGGGACCGCGGUUCCAGCUGCGCCCCUACCUGAUCCGCCUGGGCACGCUGGAGCAGGGGGAUGCAGCCGACGUGGAGUGGCGCUGGCACCCGUACACGGCCACGGCCCCCAAGCGCCGCCUGCUCAGCGCCACCUGAGCCCCCCGGACCCGCCCUGGGCCUCCCCGGGCAGCUGGGACCCUCCUGGAAACCUGGCACCACCCAGGCAGCUGGGACCCUGUUGGAUGCCUGGGACCCCCCCAGGCUCCAGGGCCCCCCCAGAACACUCCGGGUGUUUCACACACCUGGGAGUCUCAGAAUCAUUUUUUAUUUGUCACAAUAAACCUUUUUUGGCUAUUU